rnacentral:rRNA from 1 species
UGAGGAAUAUUGGUCAAUGGGCGGAAGCCUGAACCAGCCAAGUCGCGUGCGGGUACGAAGGCCCUACGGGUCGCAGACCGCUUUUGCGCGGGGAUAACGGCCGCCUCUUGAGGCGGCGUGAAGGUACCGCGCGAAUAAGGAUCGGCUAACUCCGUGCCAGCAGCCGCGGUAAUACGGAGGAUCCGAGCGUUAUCCGGAUUCAUUGGGUUUAAAGGGUGCGCAGGCGGGCCUGCAAGCCCGCGGUGAAACCCCGGGGCUCAACCCCGGGCCUGCCGCGGGAACUGCCGGCCUUGAGUCGCGGCGAGGGCUGCGGAACGCGGGGUGUAGCGGUGAAAUGCUUAGAUACCCCGCAGAACUCCGA